rnacentral:tRNA from 1 species
GAGGGUUGGCCGAGUGGUCUAAGGCGGCAGACUUAAGAUCUGCUGGACAGUUGUCCGCGCGAGUUCGAACCUCGCAUCCU